rnacentral:rRNA from 1 species
AUUGAACGCUGGCGGCAUGCCUUACACAUGCGAGUCGAACGGCAGCACGGGUGCUUGCACCUGGUGGCGAGUGGCGAACGGGUGAGUAAUACAUCGGAACAUGUCCUGUAGUGGGGGAUAGCCCGGCGAAAGCCGGAUUAAUACCGCAUACGAUCUACGGAUGAAAGCGGGGGACCUUCGGGCCUCGCGCUAUAGGGUUGGCCGAUGGCUGAUUAGCUAGUUGGUGGGGUAAAGGCCUACCAAGGCGACGAUCAGUAGCUGGUCUGAGAGGACGACCAGCCACACUGGGACUGAGACACGGCCCAGACUCCUACGGGAGGCAGCAGUGGGGAAUUUUGGACAAUGGGCGAAAGCCUGAUCCAGCAAUGCCGCGUGUGUGAAGAAGGCCUUCGGGUUGUAAAGCACUUUUGUCCGGAAAGAAAUCCUUGGCUCUAAUACAGUCGGGGGAUGACGGUACCGGAAGAAUAAGCACCGGCUAACUACGUGCCAGCAGCCGCGGUAAUACGUAGGGUGCGAGCGUUAAUCGGAAUUACUGGGCGUAAAGCGUGCGCAGGCGGUUUGCUAAGACCGAUGUGAAAUCCCCGGGCUCAACCUGGGAACUGCAUUGGUGACUGGCAGGCUAGAGUAUGGCAGAGGGGGGUAGAAUUCCACGUGUAGCAGUGAAAUGCGUAGAGAUGUGGAGGAAUACCGAUGGCGAAGGCAGCCCCCUGGGCCAAUACUGACGCUCAUGCACGAAAGCGUGGGGAGCAAACAGGAUUAGGUACCCUGGUAGUCCACGCCCUAAACGAUGUCAACUAGUUGUUGGGGAUUCAUUUCCUUAGUAACGUAGCUAACGCGUGAAGUUGACCGCCUGGGGAGUACGGUCGCAAGAUUAAAACUCAAAGGAAUUGACGGGGACCCGCACAAGCGGUGGAUGAUGUGGAUUAAUUCGAUGCAACGCGAAAAACCUUACCUACCCUUGACAUGGUCGGAAUCCCGCUGAGAGGUGGGAGUGCUCGAAAGAGAACCGGCGCACAGGUGCUGCAUGGCUGUCGUCAGCUCGUGUCGUGAGAUGUUGGGUUAAGUCCCGCAACGAGCGCAACCCUUGUCCUUAGUUGCUACGCAAGAGCACUCUAAGGAGACUGCCGGUGACAAACCGGAGGAAGGUGGGGAUGACGUCAAGUCCUCAUGGCCCUUAUGGGUAGGGCUUCACACGUCAUACAAUGGUCGGAACAGAGGGUUGCCAACCCGCGAGGGGGAGCUAAUCCCAGAAAACCGAUCGUAGUCCGGAUUGCACUCUGCAACUCGAGUGCAUGAAGCUGGAAUCGCUAGUAAUCGCGGAUCAGCAUGCCGCGGUGAAUACGUUCCCGGGUCU